ACGAGUGCCCCGAGCGUUAUCCGGAAUUAUUGGGCGUAAAGGGUGCGUAGGCGGUCGCGCAAGUCGGAUGUGAAAUCUUAGGGCUCAACCCUGAAACUGCAUUCGAUACUGCGUGGCUCGAGUACUGGAGAGGAGACUGGAAUUUACGGUGUAGCAGUGAAAUGCGUAGAUAUCGUAAGGAAGACCAGUGGCGAAGGCGAGUCUCUGGACAGUUACUGACGCUGAGGCACGAAGGCCAGGGGAGCAAACGGGA
rnacentral:rRNA from 1 species